rnacentral:rRNA from 1 species
GUAACGCGUAGGAAUCUACCCAGUAGUGGGGGACAACUCGGGGAAACUCGAGCUAAUACCGCAUACGCCCUGAGGGGGAAAGCGGGGGAUCUUCGGACCUCGCGCUAUUGGAAGAGCCUGCGUUGGAUUAGCUGGUUGGUGGGGUAAAGGCCUACCAAGGCGACGAUCCAUAGCUGGUCUGAGAGGAUGAUCAGCCACACCGGGACUGAGACACGGCCCGGACUCCUACGGGAGGCAGCAGUGGGGAAUAUUGCGCAAUGGGGGCAACCCUGACGCAGCCAUGCCGCGCGUGUGAAGAAGGCCUUCGGGUUGUAAAGCACUUUCACUUGGGAAGAAAGGUUCGUAGUUAAUACCUGCGAGCUGUGACAUUACCUUGAGAAGAAGCACCGGCUAACUCCGUGCCAGCAGCCGCGGUAAUACGGAGGGUGCGAGCGUUAAUCGGAAUUACUGGGCGUAAAGCGCGCGUAGGCGGUUUGUUAAGUCGGAUGUGAAAGCCCCGGGCUCAACCUGGGAAUUGCACCCGAUACUGGCCGACUGGAGUGCGAGAGAGGGAGGUAGAAUUCCACGUGUAGCGGUGAAAUGCGUAGAUAUGUGGAGGAAUACCGGUGGCGAAGGCGGCCUCCUGGCUCGACACUGACGCUGAGGUGCGAAAGCGUGGGGAGCAAACAAGAUUAGAUACCCUGGUAGUCCACGCCGUAAACGAUGUCUACUAGCCGUUGGGGAACUUGAGUCCUUGGUGGCGCAGUUAACGCGAUAAGUAGACCGCCUGGGGAGUACGGCCGCAAGGUUAAAACUCAAAUGAAUUGACGGGGGCCCGCACAAGCGGUGGAGCAUGUGGUUUAAUUCGAUGCAACGCGAAGAACCUUACCAGGCCUUGACAUCCUUGGAAUUCUGCAGAGAUGCGGGAGUGCCUUCGGGAAUCAAGUGACAGGUGCUGCAUGGCUGUCGUCAGCUCGUGUCGUGAGAUGUUGGGUUAAGUCCCGUAACGAGGGCAACCCUUAUCUUUAGUGUCCAGCGAUUCGGUGGGGAACUUUAACGAGACUGACGUUGACAAACCGUAGGAAGGUGGGGAAGACGUCAAGUCAUCAUGUCCCUUA